UACAAAAAGCUAGUAGGACCAGGCACCCAUACCUAAUCGCAUUGCCUGAAGCAUCUCGUCCACCCAGACCUUAUCCACAUCGCUCAAAGGCAUCGCCGCUUCCCUUUCUGCCUCAUCUCUCUUCCCCACGGGGAAUCCGCCAUUAAUCCCCACAUAUCAAGCUUUUGUGUCUCCAUCUCUCCUCUCAUGCAGCAGUCUGCCAUGGAUUCCAAGGAGAGCGAGCUCAGUCUGCGGUAGUCCACCAUCGAGCACAUCAAGGGGAGUUCGCGGCCACGGCGUGCUACAUUCGAUGACGGUCAGAUGCUGGGACCGGCCAUGAGGAAGGCUACAACCACGGGUUGAAGGUGCUGGAACAACCGCUCACGGUGACCGGCGACGGAGAUGGUGGUAUUUUUUUGCUAGAAUGAGUGUGUUUGUUUAUGCAACCAGCCCCAAUUUUGCUACCACCAUCUUUAGAUUUUGCUGGAACCAGCCCAAUUUUUUGCUACAAUGGCUUUGUUUUUGCUGGAAUUAUCACCUGUGUUGCUACUACUAUCUCAGUAGUGCUGGACUAGCCCCAAUUUUGCUACCACCGACUUCGAUUUGUGCUGGAACCAACAAUCUUUUUUGUUACCACUAUAUUUUUGUUUUGCCGGAACCGGCUCCAAUUCUGCUCUCACCGGCUUUGAUUUUUGUUGGAACUAGCAAUUUUUUUUGCUACAUCCAGCAUCAUUUUUUGCUGGAACUAGUCGACUGUCGGCUACGACGUUGGCGCAACGGAGCUACAACCAAGGUGGAAAAAUGCUACAACUGGUGCAUAAAUUUGCUACAUGUGGCAUUUUUAAUUGCUGGAACUAGUCUAGCGUCGGCGCGACGGAGCUCUGUAGGCCGGCGAGCGCGGGCGGCCGGGGCGACGAGCACAGGUGCGCUGUUGGCCGGUAAGCACAGGAAGCCAAGGACGAGCACCGGCAGCGAUGAGCGCGGAGUCCGCCAUGGAUGGGAAUUGCUGGUCAACGCAGAGCCAGAUGCGAAAGGAGAGGCAAUGAUGUGGAAAAAUUAACGGUUGGUUGUGGCCUAAUCCUACGACUGGGGGCGGACCGGCUGAAAUUUCGGCCGGUGCGCCGACGCCUAGCAGUUGCCAAAAGAGAAACCAUAAGAAAAUGUUUGUCUUCUUUUAAUUAAAAGAUGAUCUUUUAACAAUAAUAUCUCUCAUUACAGAAAUUUAAAGUUAUCAGAGAUAAGACUAAAAAAUAACAUGUGUACAUAAUUUUAUAUUAUCUUUUACGCCAAAUUACGUGACGAGUUUAAGAUAACAUUGUCAACUACUAUAGAUACCUUCUCGAAAACACACACACUAUAGAUACUUUUAGAAUGGCAAUUAAUAACACCCAUGACAUGUGCUACUAUGAGCCAGUUCUUUUAGGCAAUUCUUCUAGAAUUAACCCCCUCUCCAGCUUCUACCAGAAUUGUCAUUCCAUUUUUUUUAUAAUUCCUACCUAAUUAGACAUUAACUAGUUAAGCAUUGUAAAAAACGAUGAAGUGACAAUUCUGGAAGAAGGUGGGGAGGUGGUCAAUUCUGAGAGAAUUGCCCAAAAGAACUGACCCUAUAUCAAAUUGUGGAAGCGCCCAGGGGCUUUCUUGUCAUUUACCCAAUAGCACCCAAAUCAAAUGCCCACGGCCACGGGUGUGCCGCUGCCGCCAUGACCCAUGAGCGCCAGCGCCACCACCUUGCGCGACGCCGCGGCCAUCCUCGGCGCCCUCUCCGCCGCCUCCGCCGCCCAGCUCCACGCGCACGCCCUAAAGCUCGGGUUUCUCCCCUCCUGUCUCCACCUCUGCUCGUCCUUCCUCAAGUCUUACGCAGCCUCCGGCCGCCUGGCCUCCGCGCGCCAGCUGUUCGACCAAACCCCCCCGCCGGGACAUCCCUCUAUGGAACACCCUCGUCUCCGCCUGCGCGCGCUCCCGUCAACCCCACCACGCCCUGCUCGCUGCGUCCGCCAUGGUGGGCGAGGGCUCCCGGCCCAACAACCUCUCCGUCACGAGCCUCCUGUCUGCGUGCGCGCAGCUGAGGAGUCUGGUGCACGGGAGAGAGCUCCACGGAUAUGCCGUCAGGAAUAUCCCUGUUCUUGAUUUGCGCGUUCUCAAUGCGCUGGUAAGCAUGUACGGGAGAUGCGGGCGGUUUGCUGAAGCGAGCACGGUGUUCGCCGGUAUGGGGAAUAAGAGCGUGGUUUCUUGGACCUGCAUGAUCAAUGCCUGCUGCGAGAACAGUCGCCCAGCAGAGGCGCUGGAGGUGUUCAACGAGAUGAGGCUUGCCGUUGUCAAGGUCGAUGAGGUCACCCUGCUUGCAGUCAUCUCGGCGUGCACAAAAUUGGAUUGUACGUCGGAGUUGGGCGAGUGGGUGGAGGAAUAUGCAUGCGAGAAUGGCUUCUUGGAGAACACCCGUAUCGCUAAUUCGCUCAUCCAUAUGCAUGGUAAGAUGGGGAGGGUGAAGAAGUCAUGUCAGAUAUUUGACUCGAUGAGUGUGAGGACUGUGGUCUCAUGGACAGCCAUGAUACAGGCACUUGCUGUGCAUGGGCAUGGGGUGGCUGCCCUUGUUCGGUUUUCGCAGAUGCUUAGACAAGGGUUCUGGCCUGACGAGGUUAUCUUCUUAAGCGUGAUCAAUGCUUGUUGCCACUCCAGGCUAGUGAGUGAAGGGCGCCGGUUGUUCAAGUCCAUGGUCGUAGACUAUCACAUCACACCAUGGAUGGAGCACUAUGGAAGCAUGGUGGACCUGUUGUGCAGAUCUGGCAUGUUGGACGAGGCGUUUGAGUUUGUCCUGGCCAUGCCUGUGAAGCCUGAUCCUGUAAUAUGGCGUGUAUUGACCGGAGCAUGCCGUGAUCAUGGAGAUAUGAAUUUAGCGAGGAAGGUGAUGGAUCAUGUGAUCGACAUGGAGCCUGGCCAUGAGGGGAAUUAUGUGCUUGCGUCAAACUUAUAUGCUGCUAAUGAGAACUGGGGACGUGUUGUGGAUGUAAGGGUGGAGAUGGGUGUGAGGAAAGAGACGUUAAGAUGCAGUACUGCCCUGUCUUACAUUGAAGCCAAUGGUGAAGAAAAUGCAGAAAGCUUCUCUACUGCACAGCACCAGUAACUUUUCCAACUCCACUACUAUGAGAUUUGCUUGAGGAUGGAGAUGGAGCAAAGAAAGAGAUGUCAAGAUGCGGUACUGCCGUGUCAUAUCGUACAGUACAGUACAUUGAAGUCAGCGAUGAAGAAAAUACAGAAGGCUUCUCUUCUACACGGCACCAGUAACUUUUCCAACUUCACUACUAUGAGAUAUGCUUGAAGUAUAAAUUUAUUGCCAUUACUAGCUAGCAUCCAUGAUCCAUGAUCCAUGAUUGUGCAAGU